GAUGAACGCUAGCGGCAGGCUUAAUACAUGCAAGUCGAGGGGCAGCAUGGUGUAGCAAUACACUGAUGGCGACCGGCAAACGGGUGCGGAACACGUACGCAACCUUCCUUUAAGUGGAGAAUAGCCCAGGGAAACUUGGAUUAAUACUCCGUAACAUAUAGAAGUGGCAUCACUUUUAUAUUAUAGCUCAGGCGCUUAGAGAUGGGUGUGCGGCUGAUUAGGUAGUUGGCGGGGUAACGGCCCACCAAGCCUGCGAUCAGUAACUGGUGUGAGAGCACGACCAGUCACACGGGCACUGAGACACGGGCCCGACUCCUACGGGAGGCAGCAGUGAGGAAUAUUGGUCAAUGGGCGCAAGCCUGAACCAGCCAUCCCGCGUGCAGGAAGACGGCGCUAUGCGUUGUAAACUGCUUUUCCAGGGGGUGAAUUUUCCGGUCGUGACCGGAAUUGACGGUACCCUGGGAAUAAGCAUCGGCUAACUCCGUGCCAGCAGCCGCGGUAAUACGGAGGAUGCGAGCGUUAUCCGGAUUUAUUGGGUUUAAAGGGUGCGUAGGCGGAUCAAUAAGUCAGUGGUGAAAACCUGCAGCUUAACUGUAGACUUGCCGUUGAUACUGUUGGUCUUGAGUAUGGUC
rnacentral:rRNA from 1 species